rnacentral:rRNA from 1 species
AGGUCUUGCCUGCCCAGUGACUAAUUAAACGGCCGCGGUAUUUUGACCGUGCGAAGGUAGCGCAAUCACUUGUCUUUUAAAUAAGGACCUGUAUGAAUGGCGGAACGAAGGCUUAACUGUCUCCCCUUUCAAGUCAAUGAAAUUGAUCUGCCCGUGCAGAAGCGGACAUAUAAAUACAAGACGAGAAGACCCUUUGGAGCUUAAGAUAUAAAAUCAACCACGUUAAGGGCACACAAGCCAAACUAAGCGGCACCUGAUAGGUAUCUUCGGUUGGGGCGACCACGGGAGAAAGCAAAGCUCCCAUGCGGACUGGGACUAUACCCUAAAACCAAGAAAGACAUUUCUAAGUCACAGAACAUCUGACCACAAAGAUCCGGCCAUCCGCCGAUCAACGGACCAAGUUACCCUAGGGAUAACAGCGCAAUCCCCUUUCUGAGUCCAUAUCGACAAGGGGGUUUACGACCUCGAUGUUGGAUCAGGACAUCCUAUUGGUGCAGCCGCUAUUAAGGGUUCGUUUGUUCAACGAUUAAAGUCCUACGUGAUCU